CUCUUAUCCAGAGAGGCGGAGGGACUAGGCCCGAUGAAGCCCGGCAACCUUCAUGCCUGCGAACAACUCGCAGCUGCAUGAAAAGGUGCUAAUUCCUGCAGACGAAAGUCUGAAAGAUAAGAG
rnacentral:ncRNA from 2 species